rnacentral:rRNA from 1 species
CACGUAGGGGACGAGCGUUGUCCGGAUUCAUUGGGCGUAAAGCGCGCGUAGGUGGCCUCGUAAGUCCGCUGUGAAAGUCAAAGGCUCAACCUUUGAAAGCCGGUGGAUACUGUGAGGCUAGAGUACGGAAGAGGCGAGUGGAAUUCCUGGUGUAGCGGUGAAAUGCGCAGAUAUCAGGAGGAACACCUAUUGCGAAGGCAGCUCGCUGGGACGUUACUGACGCUGAGACGCGAAAGCGUGGGGAGCAAACAGG